GAUGAACGCUGGCGGCGUGCCUAACACAUGCAAGUCGAGCGAACAGAUGAGGUGUUUGCUCCUCUGACUUUAUCGGCGGACGGGUGAUUAACACGUGUAUAACCUACCUAUGAGACUCGGAUAACUUUGGGAAAUCGGAGCUAAUACCGGAUAAUAUAUCGAACCGCAUUGUUCAAGCGUUAAAUACGGUUUUUCUUUCACUUAUAGAUCGCUACGCGCCGCAUUAGCAAGUUGGUAAGGUAACGGCUUAGCAAGGCGACGAUGGGAAGCCGACCUGAGAGGGAGGUCGGCUAGCCUGGAAGUGAGGAACGGUAGACACACCUGCGGGAGGAAGCAGCCGAGAAUCUUACGCGAUGGGGGAAAGCCUAACGGAACAAAACCGCGUGAAUGAUGAAGGUCUUCGGAUCGUAGAGCUCUGUUAUUAGGGGAGAAGAAAUGUGUAAGUAACUGUGAACAUCUUGACGGUACCUAAUCAGGAAGCCACGGCUAACUACGUG
rnacentral:rRNA from 1 species